rnacentral:rRNA from 1 species
CCGUGACCCCAGGUCAGGCGGGAUCACCCGCUGAGUUUAAGCAUAUCAAUAAGCGGAGGAGAAGAAACUUACAAGGAUUCCCCUAGUAACGGCGAGCGAACCGGGAAGAGCCCAACUUGGAAUCGGGCGACCUCCACGUCGUUCGAAUUGUAGUCUG